rnacentral:rRNA from 1 species
AGGCAGCAGUGGGGAAUAUUGGACAAUGGGGGGAACCCCGAUCCAGUGACGCCGCGUGAGUGAAGAAGUAUUUCGGUAUGUAAAGCUCUAUCAGCAGGGAAGAAAAUGACGGUACCUGACUAAGAAGCCCCGGCUAACUACGUGCCAGCAGCCGCGGUAAUACGUAGGGGGCAAGCGUUAUCCGGAUUUACUGGGUGUAAAGGGAGCGUAGACGGUGCAGCAAGUCUGAUGUGAAAGGUCGGGGCCCAACCCCGGGACUGCAUUGGAAACUGUUGAACUGGAAUACAGGAGAGGUAAGCGGAAUUCCUAGUGUAGCGGUGAGAUGCGUAGAUAUUAGGAGGAACACCAGUGGCGAAGGCGGCUUACUGGACUGUAACUGACGUUGAGGCUCGAAAGCGUGGGGAGCAAACAGGAUUAGAUACCAUGGUAGUCCACGCCGUAAACGAUGAUCACUAGGUGUCGGUGGGCAUGGGCCCAUCGGUGCCGCAGCAAACGCAAAUAAGUGAUCCACCUGGGGAGUACGUUCGCAAGAAUGAAACUCAAAGGAAUUGACGGGGACCCGCACAAGCGGUGGAGCAUGUGGUUUAAUUGGAAGCAACGCGAAGAACCUUACCAAGUCUUGACAUCCCACUGACAGGUGAGUAAAGUCACCUUCUGUUCGGAGCAGUGGAGACAGGUGGUGCAUGGUUGUCGUCAGCUCGUGUCGUGAGAUGUUGGGUUAAGUCCCGCAACGAGCGCAACCCUUAUCCUUAGUAGCCAGAGAGUGAAGUCGGGCACUCUAGGGAGACUGCCGGGGAUAACCCGGAGGAAGGUGGGGAUGACGUCAAAUCAUCAUGCCCCUUAUGAUUUGGGCUACACACGUGCUACAAUGGCGUAAACAAAGGGAAGCGAGCCUGUGAAGGUAAGCGAAUCCCAGAAAUAACGUUUCAGUUCGGAUUGUAGUCUGCAACUCGACUACAUGAAGCUGGAAUCGCUAGUAAUCGCGGAUCAGAAUGCCGCGGUGAAUACGUUCCCGGGUCUUGUACACACCGCCCGUCAC